UUUGUGGACUCUAAGUCAGGGGGCCUUUAAGACUUAAGAUUAAACUGUAUCUGAGGCACUGAAAAUACAUUUGAAGUUAAAAUAUAAAUUAAGACUUGAAAGACGAAGUGACCCCUUCUCCCCUCACCAGCUCACCUCCUCCUCCUGGUAUGAGUUGCCCACCAGCUGUAGGACCGGGACUGAUGCAUGUGGUAUGGGUUAGAUCUGGCUACCCAACCAUCUCUAGAGUAAGAGUCUGGCUUCUCUCUUCUUUAGGUCAAAGCAGGUUACAGAAAUGCUGCAGUCAUGCAGUGAAGCUUUUGUUUCUACUCUGCAGGCCCCUAAAUCAUCUGGGCCAGGGACAGGCCCCCUUAUUUCCAUAGAAACCAUGUUGGAUGUGAGCUAUGUCAAACGCUAGGGCCUUUUCCCG
rnacentral:lncRNA from 1 species